CCUCCAGCCAUGGCAUAAUUAAUUUGCUUAAGAGCAUUGUGAUGCUCUCACUUUCAAAAAACAAAAAAACAGAGAGACACCAGAAACUGAUGAUAUUUCAUUAGAAUUGCACAAAAAAGGAGAAAAAUUGGUUAGCCAUCUCAAAACGGAUGUCAACAAAGAUGAUGGUUCCUUAAAGCAUUAAUCCACAAUCUUGGAGCUAAACCUCAAUAUAUCUCUCGUGUAAAAACAUACGUCUACAACACCCAUUUAGUC
rnacentral:lncRNA from 1 species